rnacentral:rRNA from 1 species
UAAUGGAAUAGGACGUGUGGUUCUAUUUUGUUGGUUUCUAGGACCGCCGUAAUGAUUAAUAGGGACAGUCGGGGGCAUCAGUAUUCAAUUGUCAGAGGUGAAAUUCUUGGAUCUAUUGAAGACUAACUACUGCGAAAGCAUUUGCCAAGGAUGUUUUCAUUGAUAAGGAACGAGAGUUAGGGGAUCGAAGACGAUCAAAUACCGUCGUAGUCUUAACUAUAAACUAUGCCGACUAGGGAUCGGACGAUGUUAUUUCUUGACGCGUUCGGCACCUUUCGAGAAAUCAAAGUGCUUGGGCUCCAGGGGGAGUAUGGUCGCAAGGCUGAAACUUAAAGAGAUUGACGGAAGGGCACCACCAGGGGUGGAACCUGCGGCUUAAUUUGACUCAACACGGGGGAACUCACCAGGUCCAGACACAGUGAGGAUUGACAGAUUGAGAGCUCUUUCUUGAUUCUGUGGGUGGUGGUGCAUGGCCGUUCUUAGUUGGUGGAGUGAUUUGUCUGCUUAAUUGCGAUAACGAACGAGACCUUAACCUGCUAAAUAGCCCGUACUGCUUUGGCAGUUCGCCGGCUUCUUAGAGGGACUAUCGGCUCAAGCCGAUGGAAGUUUGAGGCAAUAACAGGUCUGUGAUGCCCUUAGAUGUCCUGGGCCGCACGCGCGUUACACUGACAGGGCCAGCGUGUACCUCCUUGACCGAAAGGUCCGGGUAAUCUUGUUAAACCCUGUCGUGCUGGGGAUAGGGCAUUGCAA